rnacentral:rRNA from 1 species
ACUAACUAGGAUUCCCGUAGUAGCGGCGAGCGAACUGGGAAGAGCCCAGCGCCGAAUCCCGCGCCGUUUCGACGCAGGGAAAUGUGGCGUUUGGGAGGGUCCGUCAUCCGACGGCCCGGGCGUCGGUCCAAGUCCCUCUUGAACGGGGCCGCUCACCCGCAGAGGGUGCCAGGCCCGUAGGACCGCGCCCGGCCGCCGGAGGAUCCCUCCUCAGAGUCGGGUUGCUUGAAAAUGCAGCCCUAAGCGGGUGGUAAACUCCAUCUAAGGCUAAAUACUACCACGAGACCGAUAGCGAACAAGUACCGUGAGGGAAAGUUGAAAAGAACUUUGAAGAGAGAGUUCAAUAGUACGUGAAACCGUUCAGGGGUAAACCCGAGAAACCCGAAAUGUCGACGGGGGAGAUUCAGUCGCGUCUCGGCGCGUCGGGACCGCGCCGGACGGCGACGUCGCGUCCUUCGGGACGUGGCGCGCUCGUCCGCGGGUCGCCGGCCGCGAACGCGUGCACUUCUCCUCCGGUAGGACGUCGCGACCCGUUGGGGGCCGGCCUAAGGACCGCGGCGGAGCCCGGACGCGGCGCUUCGGCGUUCGCGUCCGGACCCGCGGAUUCCCGGCCGGCCGUAAACAAACCGACGGUAGGUACGAGGCGCGGGACCGCGUGCGCUCCACGGAGUUGCGCGACCGGCCCGCCGCAGGCGCGGCAGGUACGUUCGUCGUACGGACCUCGUGCCGUUCACGGACCCCUGCGGCCGUUGGCGGCGGAGCCCUCGGUCAGAUCCCGUCAGCCGGUCGGCGGCGCUAUAGCUUUGGGUAGUUUCGGGACCCGUCUUGAAACACGGACCAAGGAGUCUAGCAUGUGCGCGAGUCAUUGGGAUUCGUAGCUAAACCUAAAGGCGCAAUGAAAGUGAAGGUUCGCCUCGCGCGAACCGAGGGCGGACGGGCGUCGUUCCGGCGACGUCCCGCACGCCCGGGGCGUCCCGGUCUCAUCGCGAGACGGGGCGCACCCAGAGCGUACACGCUGGGACCCGAAAGAUGGUGAACUAUGCCUGGUCAGGACGAAGUCAGGGGAAACCCUGAUGGAGGUCCGUAGCGAUUCUGACGUGCAAAUCGAUCGUCGGAACUGGGUAUAGCGGCGAAAGACUAAUCGAACCAUCUAGUAGCUGGUUCCCUCCGAAGUUUCCCUCAGGAUAGCUGGCGCUCGUCUUUGAGCGAGUUUCAUCCGGUAAAGCGAAUGAUUAGAGGCAUUGGGGUCGAAACGGCCUCAACCUAUUCUCAAACUUUAAAUGGGUGAGAUCUCCGGCCUGCUCGAACGGUGAGGCCGCGAGAUUCGAAUCAGAG